GGUCAGGCGGAUACUGCAGAGGUGAGCAAGCAAAACCUGGUCCUUGCCCUGACGGGAUAUUGGGCAAAGUCAGAAGACGGAAUAAGCAAUUAGGAAACCCGGUGGCAAGGGUAUGGCAGAGUUUGCAGAGCUGUGAGAACAGAGGCAGGACGGCCAUGACCUUGCUUGGCUCUUGAAGUGUAGUCAAAUUUACACAGCAACCCUCUGGGCUGCCUGUCAGAAGCCCCGUUUGUGUGUGACAGUGCUGAGUUUCAGAGAGGUCCGGACACUUGCUCAAGCCCAUGCAGAUGGCAAGCGACAGGGCUGCUAUUCAAGCCCGGGUCUGGAACACUCAAGGCUGGUGCUUUCCUCCUUGGACCAAGUCAUCCAGAACUAAUGGAAGUAACCUCCAAUGGAAUGACUGCUUUUUACUGUGGUAAGUGACGUGUUUUCUACUAAAUAAGAAACAGUUCAUUUCUUUCUAGCCAAACGAUCAUCCCUCUACAUUCUUUAGGGCAAGAAAAAGCCCCAAAUUCCUGUGUUUUGAGGAUUCUUUCUGUGAGGGAAGUGGAGGAAAUCCUUAAGGUAAUCGACAGAUCCCUUGAUAGUUAUUUCAGGUUCUGCUCGAAUGGAGUUCGCUAGGUGAGUUAUUCCUCAGUUUACAUUUAUUUAGAUUUCAAGCCUGCCCACGUUGGAUGAAUGGCAAGGGCCAACUUCAUUUUGGGCUAUGAUGAACCGGUCAAGGACUAGCACUCCCUGCAGAAAGAAAUGCAAAGAGGCUGAUGUACGUGACGUUCUCGGGUCCUCGGGACUUCACUGUCGACUCGCUGCAAGUUUGGGGACAUUUCACCUCUUGUUAGUCCUCCGGAUUUUCUGUACUUUUUUGUGAAAUGAACACAGUAGCAGGGAAACGGCUUCAGAGGAAGGAUAAGCCACCCGCUGCUCUGAGAGCACUACACCUUGCCCUGGCAGAGGAGGUGACAUUCUCAAGCUUCUACACUCUUCGUACACACCAUGUAUUCUGAACGGCACUGGGCAUUUCACAAGUAUCUGGUUACCAUUUCUGAAAACCGUUCUUGUGAACGGUGUUUGGACAUGAGACAACUAAUUUCCUGCGUCAUGUGUGGAUUUCCAGAACAAUGCCAGAGGGGGCUAAGAAUACUGUUACUCUGUUGACAACAAAAAAAUGCUUUUAACAUCUGCCCAGGGCCAGAAUUUUAUCUCUCCCAGUAUAUUAAAAACACCACGCCGGAGAGUCCGUGCGAAGGGAAGGAUGUUUAAUUAGUCGGGUGCUUUUGAAAUCCUCUCUUUGAGUUCUGAGAUAGCGCUGAAGAAUAAAAGGCCCUAACUGGCACUGACCCUACUUACCUGAAGGCAAUAUUUAAACAGAAGAGUCUGGUGUCCCUCCGCCCCAUCCUCUUGGCCCCAUCACGCCCACCAUGUUGGCCAAUGUGACAGACUGCUAACACACUGUGCCAGUGGAAGUCAAUCUCGGACGGCCAGAGCUCCAAGCAGGCCCCAGCUCAGGAGAGCUAAGCCAUCAUCUCUUGUCAGUACUCAAUAAAAGCAUUCAGACAUCCCAAUAUGUCUUUUUUUUUUAAAGGCAGUGAUCUUCUGUGUAAGGAAAAGAUGAUUCCGAGCAAGAUUCAUCAGAGUUGCUGGUGAAAGAUGCUGUGUUAUGGGAAAGUGAAGCCAGGGCCUUCUCGGCCUUGCAUGAUACAAAAUUAGGGACAGGAGGGGCCAUGCGGCAAGCAAAAGACUGUUAACAGGUGGCUCCCGGGCUACCUGGAGCCCUAAAUGUGUCUCGUUUGACCUACACAGAGCUUUCGUAGAACUUAAUAACAAAUCAUAAAUCAUAAAAUAAUAAAUAAUACAAAGUAACAGUAAGUAAAUAAAAUAAAACAAAACAAAAAUAAUAAAAUAAUCAGCUCCAGCUUCUGAAAGGGGUGGGGAGACAAGAAAAUAUAGGAGGAUAUCUUUGCAGUCUCGGGGUCGGCAGAACUUUCUUCAGAUGGAACACCAAAAUCGUGACCCAUGAAAGAAAAAAAAAAAAAGAUGGACUUUAGCAAAGUUGAAAACUCAUGGUUUUGAAAGGCACUCUUAGAACAAUGAAGGACAAGUCACAGGCCGGAAGAAGUAUUUGAAAAUCACAAAUCUGAUGAAGGACGUAUAUGCAGAUUAAUAAAGAACCCUCAGCACUCAACAAUACAAAAAUAACCCCAUAAAAAUAGGCAGAAGAUUUAAAUAGACAGUUCACCAAAGAAGAUGUAAGGACAGCAAAUAAAUGCAUAGAAAGAUGCCCAACUGAACUGGUCUUUAGGGGAAUGCAAGUUAAAACCACGGUGAGAUACGCACAUCUACAAAAACGACUAAAACUAAGAAGGCUGACUAUACAAAGUGUUAACACAAAUAGUCAGCUAUUGUAUGACCUAGCUGUUCUGCUCCUAGGUGUUCAUCCAAGAGAAACAAAAGCAUAUGUCCAAAGACUUACACAAAAAUAUGAAAGCAACUUUGUGCUAGUAGCCUCAACCCCAAACUAGAAACAACCCCAAUAUCCAUCAACAGAUGAAUGGAUAAACAAAUUAUGGCGUUUGCAUAUAAUAGAAUACUAUCCGGCUGUAAGAGGGAAUGAGCUAUUGAUCCACACGCCAUGAAGGAGUCUCAAAAUUAUUAUGCUGGAUGCAAAAAACCUGACCCAAAAAAGUACAUACUAUACGAUUCCAUUUGCGGAAAAUUCUAGAAAAUGCCAAUGAAUCUGAAAGAACAGAAAGCAGAUCUGUGGUUGUCCCAGAACGGGGAUGAGGGUGAGAAGGCUGGAUUAUAAAGGGAUACAAAAGAACUCUCGGGAGUGGUGGAUGUGUUCAUUAUCUUGAUUACAGUUCUGGUUCACAAGUGAACGUGUAUAUAAACCUCCUAAAUUGCACACUUUGAAUCUGUGCCAUGUAUCAUCUGCCAGUUACAUUGCAAUAAGGCUGUUCAAAAUGGACAGAUCACAUCUGGGUCUGGGGGAUGCCACAUUUCUCUUAAAAACUUACCAGCUGUGGGCCUAUAUUCCUGUAUGACACCAACAGGCUAGCUGGGAGCCCUGCUGUCCCUGGACGUGGUGUUCCCUCCGUGCCCACUGCUCUCAUGAACUGGGUCCACUCCUCGUAUUGAGGUUGCCUGCUUGGCCUCUGCAGGCAUUCGAAUUUAGACUCCUCAGUCUUGCCAUGCUCCUUGCGGGCAUUACAGUCUUUAAAACUUCUCCUUGCUUCCCAGAUUAAGUUCCUUUAGAUAAGUUCUUCAAGAGUGAGCCUGGGGUCACAGAUCAUUAUGACAGAAGGGCAUCAAGGAACUUUAUGAGAGUGACACACUUCUUUGGGCUCCCGCCAGCAAGUUGAGACAAUAGUUCCCUUGCUUGCGUGGGAGGCUGAUUUCAACUCUUCAACUCAUAAAUAACUCUGGCUAGCAUGAAUCAAAGGAAUGCUUUAUUAGGAGAGAAGAGUUGAGGGGGUCCUGGGUGGCUCAGUCUGUUGAGCGUCCGAUUUUGGCUCAGGUCAUGAUCUUGGCGGUUUGUGGGUUUGAGCCCCACAUCGGGCUCUGUGCGGACAACUCAGAGCCUGGACUCUGCUUCAUAUUCUGUGUCUCCCUCUCUCUCUGCCCUUGCCCUGUUCGCGCUCUAUCUCUGUCUCUCUCAAAAAUAAAUAAAUGUUAAAAAAAAAAAAAAAAAGGAGAGAAGAGUUGAGGGGCACCUGGAUGGCUCAGUCGGUUGAGCACCUGACUCUUGAUUUUGGCACAGGUCAUGAUCUCAUGGUUUGUGAGUUUGAGCCCCAAGUGGGGCUCCAUACUGACAGCACGGAGCCUGCUUGGGAUUCUCCCCCUACCUCCCCUCAAAAUAAACAUUUUUUUUAAAAAAAGAAGAGAAGCGUUGAAAAGGUUUCUAUAAUGUUCCAUAGCUAAAAUGGCAAGGCUCAAAGGUCGAGCAGGGCAUUCCCCAACAUGACUAUCAGCCUGUCCUCGGUUGAAGCUUUCCUGCAAGCUGGGACUUGGCUGGCCUGAUUCUGUCCCAUAUCCCUUGUGGCUGCCCUGAGAAUACCUAUCUGCUUCACCAGAGCCUCUGACAAGUCUCCUUGAACUCUAGAUUUUAGCAUGGGGAGGCCAGGAAAUGUGCUGAUCUGGACAAUUAUUAUAACAUUUCUGGCCACCCAAGGGCAGUUGAGGACUUCCUUUCUUUUGAGAUCUAUGCCUUCUGAUAAUGGCACAGAGACAUGGCCGUAAACAGUAGACGUAGAGAUCUUAGCAUGGGAUCAUCGUGUCUGCUCACCUCCAUGCAGCCCAGUCCUUCGAAGCUCAGAGCUUGGUCUAGACCACAGGCUAACAGCACACCAGAUGGUUGAAAACUCUCCUCCAACCCUGGUGUGCUUCCUGACUCUCUAUAGGGGAGUCUUCCUCGAGGGGGACUACUCCGCAUUUAUGCUGGUGCUAACUUUCUGUUGGCUUUCUCUUUCAGAAGAGUCUCGGGGCCCCUGACAUCUUCAGGUAUGCAUGCCUCCUGGAGCCUGCCUCAAGUCCCAAAGUCCUUAGUUUUCUUUGUUAGGAGCUAAUUUGGCUGCACUGGCUACAGGAAAAUUCCCCACCAUUUCGAAAAUCCAAGCUCUGUGGUCAUCUCUGUCUUCUAGUACCUGUCUCCCUCCAGAAUCUGCUUUGUACCAUGGAAGAGUUUCACCUGGGGCUGGAGAACAUCUUUGACUUUCUGUUUGCCUCAAAAGAAGCUAAGUGCUGCCUAUCUAUAGAAAUUUAUGCUAUUUCUACGAGUGCAAACUGUAUAACUACACAGAGCUUGGAGACUGGGGUUGGAAAGGGAGUAGCUCAGCUUGAAUCUAUUUUUGGCCAGAUCCAAUUUAGAGGAAGAACGCCACUUUCAUGAUGAUGGUGAUGAUGAUGAUGAUUACUCUUUGAAGGAGUAGCUCUUCUAGUGACACGUGAUGAGUGUCACAUGAUCAGCAUAAGCACGCACGAGCACACCCUCCAUUCUACAUUAACGGAGGGACGGGAGGGUGGGUUUCAGUAAAAUUUUUAAAUCAUAAGGAUACAUACACAAAGUCAGAUGUGAUGACUUCAAAUCAAUCACAGUUGUGGCCAAGCCGUAUUUUCCAACAAAGCUGCCAGCUGCCACUGUCUGUAAUGCAUCCGGAACUCCUCUUUUUUGCUACCUUUUAUAAAACCCGCGUCAGAUUACUUGGAAUGUCCUCAAGAACGUACAAAUCUUUGGUUUUUUUGUUCUGUGAUUUUGGGGACUGUUCUCGGUUGAAUAGCGAACCCCCCAAAUUCACAUCCACCUGGAAGCUAAGAACAUGCAGACAUAUUAAGAGGGCAAGUUUAGGGUGGAUCCUAUAUCCUAUAUAACUGGUAUCCUUAGAAAGAGGAGAGAAAAGAAGAGACACAGAGACAGAGACAUACAGGGAGAAGGCUGUGUGAUGGAGAAGGUCAAAGUGCUGUGUCUACAAGCCAAGAAAUGUCAAGGAUUGCUAGGGACCUCCAGAGCUAGGAAGAGGAAGGGAAGACUAGACACUAUAGAGAGUGACACGGCCCUGCCACGACCUUGAUUUUGGACUUCUAGACUCCACAACUAUGAGAGAAAACAUUUCUGUUGUUUAACCCACUCGGCGUGUGGUACCUUGUACGGCAGUCCCAGGAAGCUAACACAGGAGCUAAGUCGGUUGACUGAGGAAGUAAUCAAGCUGAGUAAUUCUGCUGCUGAUCAAACAAACGCUGUGAUCAACCAGACCAGACGGAUUUAAAGGACACAACAGAGACAAAUUCUACCCACACCGAUGGUGUCUCUACGUGAAGCCUGCUCUGACCUUCAGCCCCCAGAACCUGUAUAAGUGCUCGUAAGCUUUUUUGCCCUGUGCCCUUAUUUCACGAAGACAACUCAUGUACACGGUCAGUUCUCGUUUUGAUAACGUGUGUCUUUUCUCAAGCGGAUGGCGUGCAUUUUGAGCAGAAGCCACGUUGAUACGUCUUUUAUAUUCUGUCCUCCUUAGCGAGUCCCACGUCAUCUCACGCAGCGUGGAUGGAGCGGUAAGUAUUUGUCCUGCCGACCACCCGCCAUCGUGUUCCACUUCCGAACACCUGCUGGCUAUUCUCGUGCAGGUUUCCUUUUAAGUGGCACAACCAAGCGGUCAGUCUAGUGAUCCACUCAUUCAUUUAUUCAUCUGCUUAUGCUUUUCUUCACUCACUCGCCAUAGCCUUACUAGGCAGCUGCUGUCUCCCAGGUACUGUUCUAGGGCCAAUUCUCUCUGCCUCUGGCUGAACGGCCCACUUCGUUUUGGAUAUGGUGUUUCUCGUCACAGAGCCAGACUCCUUCUCCCAUUUGCCACAUUCAACGAGGAUUCAGUGUACCGGACGUGUUUUUCUGCUCUAAGCGCAGCUUAGCGAGUGGUACCCAGAUGAGUCACAUCAUGGGGAGGAACUAAGGUGUGGAAAGAUUCCUCUGGCUCCCCAGUUCCUGAUGUUUACUCAGUUGAAAGAGAAUUAAAGAGUGCCAGAGACUCCGUGGAUGCAUGAAUCAGAAGAACGGUGGAGUCCUAAUGCAAAGUUCUCCACGUAAAGGCACAUUUUGGCUCUUGCCCCCGACACGGUCCCAGCUCUCGGGCUGCCAUUACCCGGUACCCCACCCUACCAAGAAUGGGCAUUGGACUAACUGCGGUUUGGGAGGGAAGCUUCUGAGUUCCAAGAUUCUUCUGAACUCCACUUGCUUUAAGUGAUUUUCACUGCAGAGUUGCAUCAAAGCUCUUUUUUUGGCAAAGAAGUUGCCAUAUAUGAUUAAAAAUAAUUUGGGGGGCAGGAUCUCUACCAGGAAUUGAACAAACAAUGUACUGUCUUAAGCUGGUUCCAAAUUCCUAAUGCAUCUGUUUUGUACAGUCCCCAUUUCAUAAAACUACAAUUCCUCGUUUGUCUGAGUUCUUUCUGCUUGCGCGUUAUAAAAGUCACACCCGUUUAUUCCUGGCCCUGGAGGCACCUUCCCAAGUUUGGGAAAGCCUCUUGUUUGAAGUCACAGAAGCCCUAAAUAAUGCAGUUGUUGUCAGCAUCCCUAUUCAACAUUUAGCAAGUUACCCCACUGCUUUUCUUGACCAGGACAGAUGUAAAACGUCUGACUCCUCAGUUAAUUUCCUGAAGAUUUCACAGCCCUGAUCCAUUUUCUGGCCAGAGCCACGAUCUUAGAUCCGCAUACCUCCCCUAAUUUCUCCGUUGAAACUCUCCAACGGGGCAUCCAUGGCCACACAGCGUAAGUCCGCUGUUUUAGUUGUUUAAUUAUUUUAUCUCAAGGCGAAUUGUGAGGCUAUGGAUCAGAAAUUUCUAGGUUCAACAGGCUGUUGUCCUCGGUCUUCAUCUCAGCUGUGAUCAUAGAAAUUUUCCUGAUUUGCUGACACCGAAUUUAAACUUAGGCAUUCGAUUUGGUUUGUUUUUGAUGCUGAAUCUCUACAUCAGUCGGUCACAUUAAUUUGCAAAUUGCAACAUCCUAGCCUAAACUGGCCGACACAAAAAAAGAACCCCCCGGCUUACGGAAACUGGCACAUCCGGGGGGCACGUUUAGGCACAGCGGGAUUCCGGGUUCACAGAGGAUUUUCGGGACUCAGUUUCUCCCAGUUUCUUGGCUCUGCUUCCUGCGAGUGUUGGCAUCAGGCUCACGGUCCAUGAGCGGGAGACGCGGGACUUUGCAGUGACGGGAGCACAGCCUCCUUUCAGGCCCCGUGGAGACAGGUGGGUUUCUCUCGCCCAGAGGUUCCGCAGAAUCCUGAACCUGAGUCUUGUUGACCAGAAGUUUUUCACACACCCAUCUCUGAAUGGGUUCCUCUGGGUAGGGGUAGGCUGAUUACUGUAGGACAUCCCUGAGGGGAGGAGAUGGGGACUGGAGUCAGGACAGAGAGCCCUCCACACAACAGCAAGAAGAGAUACCCACCUCGGCUCCUAAGUAAGAUGGGAACCGUGGCCCGCUCUCUGUUCCCCCUUUGCCUCUCAUAGGAUCCAGGGUUGGGUUUAAAGAGGAUCCGGCACCGUUAAACUACUUAAAACUCAGGCGUCCGGGUCUGAAGGAACCAUAACCGUGCGCACGUGAAUGUUACGGUUACACUCGCGACAUGACUUUAUUUUCGGUACGGUGAUGACGGUGACUUUUUUCCUCCAGUUUUUAUCUCCGGGUUUCUUUCCAUUUCAUGCCACAUUUUCCAAGUGGGGUAUUAUUCUAGCAGACCCUUUGAAAAUGACUCCUCUGCAAAGUUAACAUGGCGUUUUGGACACCGUUUGGGGAGGCUGAACGGGUAAGUAGGAUGUGCCGGCUUUGACAAAGUUUACAUAAUGCAACUGUUGAAAGAGAUCCGGAAGCGUUAUCUUCAAUGGGACUGAAUUGAAAAGAAGCAGAGAUUAGUGUACAAAAUCCUGUAAGUGUUGGAGAAAUUUGGCUUAGUCGAGGCCUCUGUAUUGGCCUCAACAAAAUUGACCGAAGUGUCCUUCUUACAGCUCCUCAUUCCCCUGAACCUGGCAUGCCCAGGCCUAUCUAUAGUAAUUAUUCUUAGUGCUGCCUUAUAGGCCGGGAGGCCACCCGAGAUUUAAAUAGAAGUGAGCAAACUUCUAUCACCUCGGUGAUUAUUAUUAUUAUUACAAUUACUGUUACUCAUAAUUAUACUAAUAAU